rnacentral:rRNA from 1 species
GUAGGUGGCAAGCGUUGUCCGGAAUUAUUGGGCGUAAAGCGCGCGCAGGGCGGUCCUUUAAGUCUGAUGUGAAAGCCCACGGCUCAACCGUGGAGGGUCAUUGGAAACUGGGGGACUUGAGUACAGAAGAGGAAAGCGGAAUUCCAAGUGUAGCGGUGAAAUGCGUAGAGAUUUGGAGGAACACCAGUGGCGAAGGCGGCUUUCUGGUCUGUAACUGACGCUGGGGCGCGAAAGCGUGGGGAGCAAACAGGAUUAGAUACCCUGGUAGUCCACGCCGUAAACGAUGAGUGCUAAGUGUUAGGGGGUUUCCGCCCCUUAGUGCUGCAGCUAACGCAUUAAGCACUCCGCCUGGGGAGUACGGCCGCAAAGGCUG